CCAAUUAAACCUUUCAAUUCUGAAUUUUAAAUUUUAAAUUGAGAGUGAUUAAGUUAAUUUAUUUAUCCAUUUGAAUUUAGAUAUAAAUUUUUUAAAACUUACGUUUGACUCAGUCCAACUUUAUAUAUACAUUUCGGCUGGAAAUUUAUUUAAAGGUAAAAACACUUUUUAUCUUUAAAAAGAAAACAUAAAAGAAAAGGAUAACUAAUCUAAACUACCCACAUCUGCACCACGUUCCCAUUUUCCCAUUUCCCUUUGCACGAUCAGCAGAUAUGGGUAAAUUGGCAUCUUCAUUACUCCUUUUAGUGCAUGUACAAUAGUAACAAAAUCCACGCCACUUUAUUUUCAUUGUUCACACACAUACUCUCCGUCUGUGUUGUUGCUCUUGAUUUUCCGAAAUAUAAUAUUUUGGAACACAAUACAUGACCGGUACAGUGAUGUCAUUUUCUUGGAUCAGUGGCAUUCUGAUCUCUGCAUAUUGCCAUUCUACAAGCUUGAUGAUCACCAUUCUAGCAGCAUUUUUGGCAGUUGAUAAAUAAGAAGAAGCAAUGAUUUGCAAGGGAAAUUAACAAAAGUGAAAAAAGUAGAAAGUUGUAUACUGUGGAAUUUUAUACUUAUGAUAAUUGGUUAAACUUUGGAUUGACAUUGUUUUUGUGAUGUGAAUAAAAGAAAGUGUGGACAUGGGUUGGUAACAUGAAAAAUAUACUUUUUCUUUUAA